AGUACCCUGCAAAAAGAAUUGCUUGAUGCUGUGGCAGCCCUGUGACUGCACCAAACACCAUAAGGAAAAGAGACUAUUCUGCUUUUCUGAGCAGCUGCAUAAGCUGGCUCAUAAUAUUCAACUGUAGUGUGAAGGAAAGUAGUCAUAUAUGAGCAAUACAUCAUCAGGAGCAGAUAAAGAGACUAUCGGUGGUAUCUAGCAUUAUAAAAAGAUUUUGUGGUGUCAACUGCCAGAGCCUCAUAUACUGAAGACAACAGCUAACAAGAAGAUGAUCUGCCCCUGUAGAAUGCAGCUCCAGCCAUGCACAUUGUGAAAGCAGCCAGCAGGGUGAAGCUGUUGUGGUGCAGCAACACCUCAAGCAUCAAGAUGUGCCAUUAUGUCUGAGCAGCAAUGUCAGAACAGGCUCACCAGGGAGGUGGUGGAGUCACUGUCUCUGGAGAUGUCCAAGAAAAGUGUAGAUGUGGCAUUGAGGUAGUGGACAUGAUGAUGAUGGCUGGACAUGAUGACCUUAGUGAUCUUUUCCAACUUUAACAAAUGAUGAUUCUGAAAUCUGAUGGCAGAAGCCAUUCUAGAGCUGCUACGCUUAAACUCAGAUAUUCUUCACCAGUAGUUAAUACAUAAGCACCCACGCAAGGUCAUCAGCAAUCAAAAUCCCAACCCUUCCCUCCAGAGCAUUGCAGGAAGACUGGAAGAGUGGCCCCAACACCCAGGACAGAUUGUAGGAAGAAGGAAACACAGCUGAGUGACAAAGUCCUCCUUUCAUAUCUCUCUGCAGUGCUUUAUCCUUACCACUGGGCAGACCAGCAGAAGAGGCUAGGAUGGUCUGAUAGUGAACAACCAAACGUCCUACCUGGGCAUGUCUGUGAGACAUUCCUUACAGGAUGCUGAGACUCCUUAUUAGAGAAGAUCUACUACAUUUGAAUGAUCUGACUUUAUUUCAGACAUUUUCCUUAGCCAGAAAUCCAACUUUAUCUACAAGCCCAGCAAAGUGCUGAUAUUGUUUAUGCAUCACACAUCACAGAUUUUGCUUUGCAACAAAAGCUAAAAAAUAUUUUGCUCUAAGGCACAGAGCUUGUUAUUUAUUUCCUAUUAUUUGAACCUUGAGGCAUGAGACUUCUAAAGAAAAACUGAACUACGUACUUUUUAAAGCAUUUAGAGUCCAGGCAGACCCAGAUCCACAGAGCAAAGCAGGCUCACAUUCGCUCCAAGUUUUGCACCAGUACAUGCCUAAUUUAACUGGCAAAUGAGAGGCGUAACCAUGGCAGACUGGGGGCUCCAAAACCCAAGCUUCAGAGUGUAGAAGUUGGUAAAAACCCAUCCCAUUCUCCUGAGAAGACACAUUUAAUUAUGAUAUUGUCAUGGACACAGCAUCCAA